AGUGAACGCUGGCGGUAGACCUAACACAUGCAAGUCGAACGGCAGCACAGUAAGAGCUUGCUCUUACGGGUGGCGAGUGGCGGACGGGUGAGGAAUACGUCGGAAUCUACUUUUUCGUGGGGGAUAACGUGGGGAAACUUACGCUAAUACCGCAUACGACGUACGGGUGAAAGCAUGGGAUCUUCGGACCUUGGGCGAUUGAAUGAGCCGAUGUCGGAUUAGCUAGUUGGCGGGGUAAAGGCCCACCAAGGCGACGAUCCGUAGCUGGUCUGAGAGGAUGAUCAGCCACACUGGAACUGAGACACGGUCCAGACUCCUACGGGAGGCAGCAGUGGGGAAUAUUGGACAAUGGGCGCAAGCCUGAUCCAGCCAUACCGCGUGGGUGAAGAAGGCCUUCGGGUUGUAAAGCCCUUUUGUUGGGAAAGAAAAGCAGCAGGCUAAUACCCCGCUGUUCUGACGGUACCCAAAGAAUAAGCACCGGCUAACUUCGUG
rnacentral:rRNA from 1 species